GUUCGAAUUGUUUUUACGAUCCAAGGUC
rnacentral:sRNA from 1 species